rnacentral:rRNA from 1 species
UUUAUUAAAUUUAUUAUAUUGUUUUUAUGUUUUAAUUUUAUAAUUUAAUAAAAAUAAUUUUAUUUCUUUUGGUCUUAGUAUAUUUUAUUGAAAUGAUUAUAUUAAUUAUAGUUUAUUAGUAAUGUAAUUGGAUUAUUUUUUUUAUUAAGUUAUAAAAAGUAGAUUUUAUUUUUCGUACCUUUUGUAUCAGGGUUUAUUAAAAUUUAAUUUUUUAUUAAUUAAAUCUCGAUUUGGGUUGAUUUAUAAAUUAAUAAUAGUUGUUGUUUCAAAAACAUUAUUAAUUAAUUUAUAGAAGUGAAAUGUUAAUCGUUUCCCAAUAUAUCUAGUUUCUUAAGAAAAAAUUUAAUUUUUUAAUAUUGGUGUUUUUAUUUAAUUUUAUAAUUUUAAAAUAUUAAUAUAUUUCUUUUUUAGGGGAUAAGCUCUAAAAUUAGUUUCCUAUAAUUUGUUAAUUUGAAAAUAUAAGAAUAGGCUUUAAACCAGUUAUUUUUUAGAUUACGUUUUAGUUCAUUUUCUUUAAUUUUGAUUUUUUAAUUUAUUUAGGUUUUUUAUUAAGAUUAUUAAUUUAAUUUUUAAAUUUUUGUAAUAAUGAUUUAAUUAGUAUAUUUAUUUUGUUUAAAUUUUUAUUUUUGAUAAUUUAUUAUAAGGAACUAGGCAAAAAUAAUUUCCGCCUGUUUAUCAAAAACAUGUCUUCUCGAUAAUAUUUUGAAGUCUGGCCUGCUCACUGAUUUUAUAUUAAAUAGCCGCGGUAUUUUGACCGUGCAAAGGUAGCAUAAUCAUUAGUCUUUUAAUUGGGGGCUGGAAUGAAUGGUUUAACGAGAAAUUGGCUGUCUCUUAAUAAAUUUUAGAAUUUAACUUUUGAGUUAAAAGGCUUAAAUUUUUUUUUAGGACGAGAAGACCCUAUAGAUCUUGACAUUUAUAUUUUUAUAUUUUUUAUAGAUAAUCUUUUUAUAUUAAAUUUUAAUGUUAUGUUGGGGUGACAUGAAGAAUAAAUAAACUCUUCAUUAUUAAAUCAUUUAUUUAUGACUAUUUGAUCCAUAAUUUAUGAUCAUAAGAUUAAGUUACCUUAGGGAUAACAGCGUAAUUAUUUUUGAGAGUUCAUAUCGACAAAAUAGAUUGCGACCUCGAUGUUGGAUUAAGAUUAAUUUUAGGUGUAGUAGCUUAAAAAUUAGGUCUGUUCGACCUUUAAAUUCUUACAUGAUCUGAGUUCAGACCGGCGUGAGCCAGGUCGGUUUCUAUCCUAAAAUAUUUAAAUUCAUAUUAGUACGAAAGGACCAUAUGAUUAAAAUAUCUUUUUUUAUAUUGAUUAAAUAUAAUUUUU